rnacentral:lncRNA from 1 species
AUGUCUUCUGAGAGGUGAAGAAGUCACAUGUGGUGAAUAUAUUAUCAUCAGAAUGCGGAGCAAUGAAAUGUAAACAGAUAGGAAUCGUCACUAAAGCUCCAACUGCAGCCUCCGGGUGCCAUAGCUUUUGCACCAUCCAUUUGCACCAUCUCUGCAUUGCUCUCAAUCACUGCCACGAGUCUGGUGAUGCGCUAAGCUCGGGGCAGGAUCUCAAGGGCUUUGAGGAUGUCUGCAUCAUCUGUAUUGACCUGCUCCCCAGAUUAAUACCGAAGCACUGCAAUUUCUUGAGGAUUAUCCACCUAGGAGGAAAUGAUACGCUGGCCCAUCCAUAGUAGUCAAGGGAACCACCAUCUCAGAUGGUAGAAACCACUCAGAAGGAUCAACUGCUGCAGACGGGAAGAGGAGCAACCUCGUGAAUAAUUUCGUGACAGGAUAUUGCAGGAGGGACUUUGUCCAAAUGUGUGCAGGGUAGUUGGCUACAGCAACAAGGAUGACGAACACAGAUGAAUUGAUCAGGAUGUAACCAUUCAAAGUUGAGAGGAUUAGAGGACUUCUCCGAGGCGGCUCCAAUGGAUGCCAGCAGAGUUAAAGUGUCCAAUGGAGAGAAGAGAAGGCUUGGGAAAUCCAGAGUCCAUUCAUUCAUCGCCCUCCUCCUAGAACAACAAAAGCGAGCCCCAGUACUCAUCAGCAUGGACUCUGUGUGUAGUCAUCUCCCUUAGUUUCAGAGGUUCCUGCCUACAGCAAAACUUUAGAGGCUUAGAGUUUAACGGUCAUAGCUUAUUCACCUCCAACUGUGUCCUAGUUCAAGAGAAACACUUCACAUAUCUGUAGGGAGAAGAUAAUGAACCAAGGAUACAAGUUAAGCCUUAGCUAAGACCUGUUACUCAGGAAAAAGAGCUAAAACAAGCUGCUUAGAUCAGCACCAAUGUUAGGUAGAGAGAAAAAGAAACGCUGCAUAGAAAUCUUAAGGUUCACAUGUGCUCCAGGCUGGGUCAACAACUUCUAAUUUCCUUUGCCAACCAACCAUGUCUUUGACAGAAAUGAUCCUUCUACAUAGACCACAGAGGGAUCCAAUGGAGGUUUCUCUUCCUGAAUUUGGGGAUUCAGAAUCUGGACAAAUUCCUUUCCAUCAAAGUCCAGUACAAAAGUAGUACCAUGGCAGUCCCUGCAGGGACUUGCAUCACUUUCCCUAGAGAUAUCAAGAGAAUUUUUAGUGAUAAGAAUAUGGCACAAAAUGAGAAAUCCCAUUACUCUUAAGAGAAUCUCUUCCUUCUCAAAGGCACCUGAUUAAUACAUAUAGUACUAUCAGUAAGGCUGAGCAAAAGGAUACUGAUGUUCUGAGUGAUCUUAAAUCAUGUAAUAAUAACUUUAUUCGUAGUAUAGAACGGAAUAUUCCCUAUUAGUAAUCAGUUCCUUUGCCAGAUCCUCAUAGUAUCUUAGUCACUGUUUUAUUGUUAUGAAGAGAAACUUUGACCACAGCACCUCUUAGAAAAAAGGAAGCAUUUAAUCGGGACUUCCUUAUGGUUUCACAGUUUUACAUAAUUGUCAACAUGGCAGAGAACAUGGGGGCACGCAAACAGACAUGGUGCUGGAGAAGUAGCGGAGAAUAUACAGCAACAUAUAGAUACAAAAUAUAGAUACAUAUAGAUACAGAAUAUAGAUACAUAUAGCUACAUAUAGAUCUGCAGGCAGCAGGAAGAGACUGGGACAAGGCCAUACCUUCUAAGGCUUCUCAAGGAGUGUCACUUCCUGAUGACCAAGCAUUCAAGUGUAUGAGCUUAUGGGAGCCAUUCUUAUUCAAGCCACCACACAUAGCAAAGCUGAUAAUGUCAUUUUCUGAAUUAACCAGGCCAAGGCACACUUCUUAGCAACAUGGUUACCUGGUAACCAGAGAUUUUUCUCAUCCCAUGAGAGAUUUCAUUCAAGAACUGAUCUUCUAACAGUUUUGUCUCUCUUAAGAAUGCUACAGACAGGGUGGGGUGAGGCACAGUGCUGAAGCCCCUCAAGUUUCCCAGAGGGAUGAGUCCAUGAAAGACGAAAAUCAUGUGGUCACACUGAGCAUAGACUUCACAAGCAUCAUGCUAGGAUUCCAUUUUCUUUCUCAACACAAUGAUAAAUUCUUCUUCCAAUAAGCAGAAAAUCAUCCAAUGGGAAAAAAAAAUAAAACCAACUAACUUGCAGUCCUUUGGAACAGUUUCAUAGCUUACAGGAUGGCUUCAUAACCCUGGGGACACUCGUUUUGACAUGAAAACUUCCUUCAGAACAGGAAUUCUGAUCCAACAUGUGCUCAGACAUCAUUUCAGUCACUUGCAAAUGAACAAGAAAGCUCAUGUAAAUGAGGAGGCUCAACUCCCAGGCCUGGUGAGUGGGUAAGACAUUCCUCUGCUGGGUUUUGAAGGCUGUCUGAAACCAUCGGCUGACAUCCUUCUCUGUGUGCAUGUAUGCACUAUCUACGGGAAAUUCAGCUCCAACCGGUUGUCUCUACAGCUCCCUUAAUCUUCUCCUCCCUCCUCCUGGCAUUGGCAUGUGUCCCAGGACUGCAGCGAGGAGUGCUUACCAACAAAGGUGCUGGCAUCUGCAUUUGUUUCACAGCCACAAACCUAAUGGUUCCAUGAUUUUGGCGAGCAAAACUGUCAAAAUGCCUGAGCACAAGAGAUCACAAGAUGAGCCAAGGCAUAGUGUGCAUGCCUUCCUUCCCAGCACUCGGAAGGCAGAGGCAAGGGGAUCUCUGUGGGUUCAAGGCCAGCCUGAAUCACAAGGUGUACUGGGGAUUCUUUUUUAUUGUUUUCCUUUUGCUAUCUGGAAUAGUUUGAGAUUGUAUUUGAUCAGUGCAUUAAACAACCAAUUAAA